CCUACGGGAGGCAGCAGUGGGGAAUAUUGCGCAAUGGGGGAAACCCUGACGCAGCAACGCCGCGUGGGUGAAGAAGGCCUUCGGGUCGUAAAGCCCUUUCGGACGGGACGAACGCUCCGCGGUGACAACCCGCGGAGCCUGACGGUACCGUAAGAAGAAGCACCGGCUAACUCCGUGCCAGCAGCCGCGGUAAUACGGAGGGUGCAAGCGUUGUUCGGAAUUACUGGGCGUAAAGCGCGUGUAGGCGGCCUUGCAAGCCAGACGUGAAAGCCCUCGGCUUAACCGGGGAAGUGCGUCUGGAACUGCUCGGCUCGAGUACGGGAGAGGGAGGCGGAAUUCCCAGUGUAGAGGUGAAAUUCGUAGAUAUUGGGAGGAACACCGGUGGCGAAAGCGGCCUCCUGGACCGAUACUGACGCUGAGACGCGAAAGCGUGGGGAGCAAACAGGAUUAGAUACCCUGGUAGUCCACGCGGUAAACGAUGGGCACUAGGUGUGGGGGGUAUCCACUCCUCCCGUGCCGCAGCUAACGCAUUAAGUGCCCCGCCUGGGGAGUACGGCCGCAAGGUUAAAACUUAAAGGAAUUGACGG
rnacentral:rRNA from 1 species